rnacentral:rRNA from 1 species
UACGUAGGGGGCAAGCGUUGUCCGGAAUCAUUGGGCGUAAAGCGCGUGUAGGCGGCUCGAUAAGUCUGCUGUGAAAGUUCAGGGCUCAACCCUGAAAUGCCGGUGGAAACUGUCGGGCUAGAGUCCGGAAGAGGCGAGUGGAAUUCCUGGUGUAGCGGUGAAAUGCGCAGAUAUCAGGAGGAACACCGGUGGCGAAGGCAGCUCGCUGGGACGUUACUGACGCUGAGACGCGAAAGCGUGGGGAGCAAACAGG